GACAGAGGGUGCAAACGUUGCUCGGAAUUAUUGGGCGUAAAGAGCUCGUAGGCGGUUUGUUGCGUCGGCUGUGAAAUCCCGAGGCUCAACCUCGGGUCUGCAGUCGAUACGAGCAAACUAGAGUGUUGCAGGGGAGACUGGAAUUCCUGGUGUAGCGGUGAAAUGCGCAGAUAUCAGGAGGAACACCGGUGGCGAAGGCGGGUCUCUGGGCAACAACUGACGCUGAGGAGCGAAAGCGUGGGGAGCGAACAGG
rnacentral:rRNA from 1 species